GCUGCUCCUAGUACGAGAGGACCGGAGUGGACGCAUCACUGGUGUUCGGGUUGUCAUGCCAAUGGCACUGCCCGGUAGCUAAAUGCGGAAGAGAUAAGUGCUGAAAGCAUCUAAGCACGAAACUUGCCCCGAGAUGAGUUCUCCCUGACUCCUUGAGAGUCCUGAAGGAACGUUGAAGACGACGACGUUGAUAGGCCGGGUGUGUAAGCGCAGCGAUGCGUUGAGCUAACCGGUACUAAUGAACCGUGAGGCUUAACCUUACAACGCCGAAG
rnacentral:rRNA from 1 species